rnacentral:rRNA from 1 species
UGCAGAAUCCCGUGAACCAUCGAGUUUUUGAACGCAAGUUGCGCCCAAAGCCAUUAGGUUGAGGGCACGUCUGCCUGGGCGUCACAUAUCGUUGCCCUGUGCCCCAUGCCUAUUGACAGGCACCGUGCAGGGCGAAUGUUGGCUUCCCGUGAGCUUUCUUGUCUCACGGUUGGCUGAAAACUGAGUCCUUGGUAGGGUGUGUGCCAUGAUAGAUGGUGGUUGUGUGACCCACGAGACCGAUCAUGUGCAGCUCUACCAGAUUUGGCCUCUAUGACCCACUUGCGUCCUUGGAUGCUCAUGACGAGACCUCAGGUCAGGCGGGGCUACCCGCUGAAUUUAAGCAUAUCAAUAAGCGGAGGAAAAGAAACUAACUAGGAUUCCCUUAGUAACGGCGAGCGAACCGGGAAGAGCCCACCAUGAGAAUCGGUCGCCCUAGGCGUUCGA